rnacentral:lncRNA from 1 species
UUCCAGUUGAAAACUUCUUUAGCAGUGUUCUGAAAGAGGUAAAAAUUCUACCCUAUCUAAAGCACAUCUAGGGACUGAAUUUCAGAAACAACUAAAAUAGGGAGUUGACUCCCUAACAAAUAACAACUAAGGAUGAUUUUCAACAAAUGCUGUUGGAUUUCUGGAUUAGCAGAAUCGGAACACACACACAUUAUCAGUUGAAUUCACAGAUGUGACACCCGCAGAUAAGGAAGGCCUGCUGUACAUGAAUUCUUCCUGUGUCUCUUCUGCAAAAAAACCUGCCAUAGCCAUCUGUACUGUCAUGGAUAACCUAGGGCUUACCUAUACCACACAUCUCAUUCUCCUUACAAUUUAGUUUUAAUAUAAGAAGAAGCUGCAUUCGACUAUGUUGCCACCUAAAUUUUCUUAUCAAAAACUCCUCAUCCAACCAUCCUUUUCUUACCUGUGAUGCCUAAGCUCAAAUACGGCUGUUUUUGAGUGUGUAAGGUAAAUAAAGGAGGACCUGCCUCACAACUGAUGAUUGCCUUCUCUGUAGUAACUUGUCAACUUACAUUCAUCACUAUUCAAUAAGAUAACAGUUUGUGAUUUUUCAGUACCC